UACGAAGGGGGCUAGCGUUGCUCGGAAUACUGGGCGUAAAGGGCGCGUAGGCGGCACUGUUAGUCAGGCGUGAAAGUCCUGGGCUCAACCUGGGAACUGCGCUUGAUACGGCAGAGCUAGAGGAUGGAAGAGGGUCGCGGAAUUCCCAGUGUAGAGGUGAAAUUCGUAGAUAUUGGGAAGAACACCGGUGGCGAAGGCGGCGACCUGGUCCAUUACUGACGCUGAGGCGCGACAGCGUGGGGAGCAAACAGG
rnacentral:rRNA from 1 species